AUGGCGCUCUCCACGCUCCUCCUGCCCUCCUCCUCCACCGCCGCCGACACCUCCGACCGCCGCCGCGGCCAGCAGCCGCAGAACCACCACAGCAAGCGCAAGAAGAAGCCGCCGGCGCUGCCGCCCCCGCUCUCCCCCGCGCCGAGGACUCCCGGCCGACGCCAUCUUGCCGCCACCGGGACGCCUUCCAGGAAGAGCCCCGCCCUCGCCGCGCCCACCGCCGGCGCCAAGGCCAGGCUCGUCGCGUCCAAGGACCACCGUCAACGCCGCAGUGGCUCGAAGAAGGCGGCUGCGCAGAAGCCCGCGCGGCCGGCGUCGUCGUGGGAGCAGCUGAAGAGCCUGCUGAGCUGCCGGAGCGCGACGGCGGCCGCGCGCGUGCACGACCCGGCCGCCCUCGCGCGGGGGCCCGGCGCGGGAGGGUACUGGGGGACGUCGCUCUGCUCCAUGCGCGACGUGGCCACCGUCGACGGCGCCUCCUCGGCCGCCUCCGUCGUCGUGGACCACCGCGACACCGCCCCGCUCAACCGCUCCUCCCGCCGCGCCCACCACUCCUCGUCGUCGGCGGCGGGCGGCGGCGGGCACCCGUCCUCCCUCCGCGGCCUCUCCGGCUGCUACGAGUGCCGCGCCAUCAACGUCGAGCCCGUCUCAAGGAGGUACCCUCGGCCGAGGGAGCUGUGUCCGUGCUCGCAGUGCGGCGAGGUGUUCACCAAGGCCGACAGCUUGGAGCAGCACCAAGCCGUCCGCCAUGCCGUGUCGGAGCUGGGGCCGGAGGACUCCGGGCGGAACAUCGUGGAGAUCAUCUUCAAGUCGAGCUGGCAGAAGCGGGACCGCCCCAUCUGCCACAUCGACCGCAUCCUCAAGGUCCGCAACCCGCCCCGCACCGUCGCCCGCUUCGAGGCCUACCGCGACGCCGUGCGCGCCCGCUGCCGCGCCGACGUCUCCGCGGGAGGCGGCGGCGCCACGCGCGCCGCGGCCGACGGCAACGAGCUGCUGCGGUUCCACCCGGCCGCGCUCGCCUGCGAGCUCGGCGCCGACGGCUCCACCUCGCUGUGCGCGUCCUGCGACGAUGGUGACGCCGACGGUAAGACGGCGGCCGCGGCGUGCGGGGUGUGCGCGGCGAUCCGGCACGGGUUCGCGCCCUGGGCCGGCGCGCACCCGCUGGGCGUGCGCACCACAGCGAGCAGCGGCCGCGCGCACGACGUCUGCGGUGCCGAAGCGGUGGGAGCGCCGGGGUGGCGGGCGAUGCUGGUGUGCCGGGUGAUCGCCGGGCAGGUGCGACGGCGGGACGGGGACGAGGAUGGGGAGGAGAAGGAGGUUGAGGCUGGGCCGUUCGACUCGGUGGCCGGCGACGACGCGGGCGGCGCGUACGGGGUGCUGGAGGAGCUGUUCGUGGCCAACCCCAGGGCCAUCCUGCCGUGCUUCGUCGUGGUGUACCGCGUCGACGUGGACGCACAAUGA
rnacentral:rRNA from 1 species